rnacentral:piRNA from 1 species
UUCCUCUGCAAACAUUGACUGUGCCUU